AAAAAAAAAGCCCUGGAGAGUAUCAGUGAGCAGCUGACCUUAACUACAUCAACAAAUCCCCUGCGAAGUUCUGUUUGCGCUUCCGGCAGCUUCUUGCUACUUAAGGACAGCCGGGCUGACGCUCCAGCUGCUGUGGCCGGAGGUGCAGCCCCGUCAGGACGGCUCCACUCCCUGGCGCCUCACAGACUCUGGGGCUGCGGUGAGGUCGCCCUGAAGACCCCCUGGUGAGGACGCUUGAACCCGGGCUGUCACCUGAGCACAGGCUGCCACUCUGAGCUUUUGGGGCGCCCUGUGCCCGUCGGGCUGGUGCUCCUCUGGCUCCCGGCCACCUGGGGCUGACACCGGUUCUGUGGGUCCUGAUAUGUUCACCUGUCGCCACUCCUGUGGCCACAGCUACCCAUGAAGCGCUUUGGCAGCCUCAGGAGCAACAAGAAACACAAGGACCAAAAUCGAAGCACGGAGAGGCGCCAGUCGGAGCCUCAUGGCCUUUUCGCCUCCGGCCUCUCCUCCUCUCCGUCAACACCCACCCAAGUGACCAAGCAGCACACGUUUCCCCUGGAAUCCUAUAAGCACGAGCCUGAACGGUUAGAGAAUCGCAUCUAUGCCUCGUCUUCCCCUCCGGACACAGGGCAGAGGUUCUGCCCAUCUUCCUUCCAGAGCCCGACCAGGCCUCCACUGGCAUCACCGACACACUAUGCUCCCUCCAAAGCCGUAAGUCUGGGCCCUUCUGUGGGUGGGGCUGCCGGGUGGCAGAGGGAGGGCAGAGCAGUUAUUGCCCCAAGCUGAGCAGUCUAUCUGCAGCCGAGGCUGAGGUCGUGUGCUCCUGACAUCUUCAGGAUAUUGUACCAUAAAUCACAGGCUGAGGGAGAAAUGGUGAAGGCACAAUAGCAAAUGGAAAUACACAAAAAAUAGCUGGGUGCGGUGGCUCACACCUGUAGUCCCAGCACUUUGGGAGGCCAAGAUAGGCAGAUCACUUGAGGCCAGGAGUUCGAGACCAGCCUGGCCAACAUGGCAAAACCCUGUCUCUACCAAAACUGCAAAAAUUAGCUGGGUGUGGUGGCGUGCACCUGUAUCCCAACUACUCGGGAGGCUGAGGCAUAAGAAUUGCUUAAACCUAGAUGGCAGAUGCUGCAGUGAGCUGAGAUCAUGACACCGCACUCCAGCCCCUAUGUAACAGAGCAGACUCUGUCUGAAAAAAAAAGAAAAAAAGAAACAAAAUGAAAAAUGAUAACAUCUGGG
rnacentral:lncRNA from 1 species